CUCCACCUCCUGCAGCAGGAAGCGAUCGGGCCCGGCCUGGCGCAGCACGUCCAGGAGCCUGGCCUCCGAGAGCUCCACGUGGGCGCGCAGGUCCUGGAGGAACAUGCGCCCGCCGUUGGCGCACAGCACCUUGCACAGGUCCUGAUCUGCACCUUAAGCAGCUGGCCGUAUCGCCCAACACCAUGCUCGUUUAAUGAACAUUUACUGAGCCAACUGCUAAUGGCAGUGACAGAGGACAAAGAUGAAUAAGACAUAAUCGAGGACUCAGCCAGCCUGGUUGCUCUCUUACGGGGGGUUGUGAGGAUGGAGUGAGCAAUGUCAGGUCAAGAAGCUAGAGGAAGGCAACUGCUGGACGAUCUUUUCUACCAUGCUAAGAAGUUUGGACGUCUGUACGUACUAAAGACUUAGGGAAGCCACUUAAGGAAUUUCAUUUGGGGAGUGACGUGAACCCUCUGCCUAGAAUGCUUUCCCCUGAUAUAGAGGUCUCCAUUUUGUCUUUCAACCCUGAGCUUAAAUGUCUUCUUCAGCAAGGCCUUUCCCGACCUCCGUAUAUUAAAGUACCUCCCCAGUAUCUGCGUGGAACUUAAAUCACUGGUAUGUUUUCUUCUGGUUUACUUAACAUUUGUAGAAUUCAGGACGUGAAAGCAGGAAUCUCAUUUGUCUUAUUCAUUGCCAUAUCCCCAAACUUAAAACCGGGCCUAGCUGUACUGUAGGAAAGGUGUUUUAGAAAGAUCCCUGGAAGAAGUAAGAAUGGAUUUCUAGAAAAGCAAGACAAGGAAUAACAGAAGAGAAACAGGAUUUGAGGGACUAAAUGUCAAUUUUUAUUGUGUUGAGUUUGCAAUGGACAACCUAAGGUAAGAUGCUCACUAGGCAGUUGUAUUAUAUAUAGAAGAGCUUAAGAAAGAUGGAGACGAAUAUGGGUUUGAGUGACAUCAAAGUGAUUAGGUAAUUGAUGCUGUGAGUUGAUCAGAUCAUUCAGCAAAAAUGAAGAGCAUGAAAAGCAGAGGUGGGAGGAUAAAGGAAUAGCAACAUUAAACACUUCUGAAAACUUGAGAGCUUGCUAUGACAAAGUGAAUCAACAAAUAGAACAAGUAACUUUAGAAAAACUCAAACAUCUGCUCAUGCUUGGUUUGGUGGUAUUUUCAUGUAUUUGCAUGUGGGUGUUUUGACAGCAAUGGGUUGGCUAUAUUGUUUUAUUUAUAUUGAGGUCCAAAUCAAAUGGCAAUUUGCCUUCCCUUGAAUUAAAUCUAUGCUACCACAUAGAGAUUUGCCGCCUCUCUCUCUCUCUCCAUCCAAAGUUUUGUGAUUAGAAAAGAAUGACCUGGGAAGUGCUUUUAAAGGAGUGACUGACAGGACAGUUCUAAUAACCAUUUAUUUUGUUAACUUUUGGGCCUCAGCCUGGCCCUGGUCCCACCCCUGGGACCAGAGGAAGAAGUGUUAGCAGCUGCCAGCCUCUGCCUCUCUAAGCUCCUAGACAAAUGAUGUGCCAGCCUGCUGUGGGCUCCUCCAUCACCACUGCCCUGCCUUUCCUUGGCAGUGUGCUGAAGGCUCCUUGGUCACUGAGUCCUGGAAUGAUAAAGCUGGAAGAGACAAAACACAUCUUCUAUCCCCCACUGAAUAAGCUGGUGCCUAUCGUUUUGGAUAUACCUAGAAAUAAAGCAAAUAAAGGCAGCAGAGCAAAAUUAGUAUUUCUUUUUAUUAGAGUCUCAAAUUGAGCUUGAAGAAGAAGAGAAAUAAAACUCAACUUCUGAAAUAUAAUAGUUGCGCUUAUUUUAUUCAACCAAAUUUAUGCAAAGUUAUCAGUAUAUUUCAUAUGCAAUAUUAUAUGCAAAGUUAUAUGCAAAAGUAUAUGCAAAGUUAUCAGUAAGCAUUCAGCAUUGUGGCACAAUGCACAAGACAAGUUAACCUCGCCCUCAAGGAGCUUACAUUCUAAUGCGGAAAGCAGACAACUUCAAGCUGGAUAGAUACUAAAAAUGAAUACAGCAAGGCACAAAGUAUUUUUUAAAAUGGGGAUUUGGGAAGCAAGCAUCCUGUCUAAUCUACAGGACUCCUUAUGGAGGUAACAAGCAAAUCUCAAGAUGCUAGAUAUUAACUGACUCAGUGAUUCUCAUGUAUUGAGGACCGUCCCUGGCACUGAGUGGAUGCAGCCAGAGAUGCCAUGUUUCCCCGAAAAUAAGACCUAGCCGGACCAUCAGCUCUAAUGCAUCUUUUGGAGCAAAAAUUAAUAUAAGAUCCAGUCCUACAUUAUAUUAUGCUAUAUAAGACCGGGUUUUAUUUUCCGGGAAACACGGUAGCAGAAGUCCUGCAGUGUAUGGGUUAGCCCCACACAACGAAGAAUUAUUCUGUACCUAUACGACUUUUUAAUGUCCUGCUGGACAUUUUAAUUUUAAUAUCCUGCUGGACAUUUAUGUAGGACUUACAGCUCGACUAAGAAAUAUAGUCAAUUUUUCCCUCUUAAACAAUCUAUAAUUUGUUUUGUCCUAUUACCCUUAUUUAAAAUAAGGUACUUCGCUCUUUCCCUUACCAUAUACAGAUAAGGUAUAUGGCCUGUUAUGACUUACCCUAAUACUGGUCUUCAUUCUAGUGUCACCCAUACCUCUCAUCUUUCAUUUUUCUGUACUUCUUUACAG